ACUCUGUGAGCCAUUGCUCCCUGGCUCCCUACUGGGUAAGAUGAGGUCAAUGCCAAUGACUCAGUUGAAUCCUGCCGUCCAGGAAUGUGCAGUGUGCAAGUAUAACAAUGACCUCUACAAAAUAGCAAAUGCAUCAUAUUAAAAGGCUGCUACCUGCAUAGCAAGGAGACCAGGUCUGAGUUAUGUGUCACCAUCGCAGAACCAGAGAAGAGCCCAGUGUCUGGUACCACAGCUGACACGAUCAAUGUCAAGUGAGUGAGGGGAGGCUGUUGCGGUGCCAGCAGGAGGUGCCAGGGCCCUGCUUAUUGAAUCAAAAUGACCAGCACAGGAGCACCUGUUCUUGCUGCUGAUGGGAAAGGUGGCAGGCAAGCUGGAGGCCAAGGUUGAAUUGCAGUGGGCACCUGCUCUUCUGGGACAGGAAGAGAGUCAGAGCGAGACAGGAUGGUAUUGGUCAGAAAAGGUGAAGAGUAAACAACGCAGGGAGGCUGAAAGCUCUUCCGGGACAGGAAGAGAGUCAGAGCGAGACGGGAUGGUAUUGGUCAGAAAAGGUGAAGAGCAAACAACGCAAGGAGGCUGACAGCUCUUCCCUUUGACUCUGAGCAUCGCUUCUUCACCACGUUCUAAGAAUCGACCAGAGAAGCUGGCUUGUCUGACAGCUCCUGUUGCAGAAAACCAUAGGCCCCAAAAAUGGAUAAAUUAACAAACAAGGAGAGCAGAAUUCACAAGAUGAUCUUGUCCACCUCUCUAAUUCCACAGAUGGAAAAAACAGAGACCUCGCAGGCAAGUGACCUGCCCAAAGUCACCCAGAGGGUCUGCCCUGGAGCAGGGGGGGUCACACAUUUCUUCAGAAAAGGCCCAGAUAGUAAAAAUGUUAGGCUUUGUGAGCUAUAAGGUCUCUGUCCCAACUACUCAACUUUGCUGUUGCAGUAUGAAAGCAGCCACAGAACAAUGCAUAACUAAAUUGGCAUGGCUAUUUUCAAUACAACUAUUUACAAAAACAGGCAGCAGGCUGGACUCGGCCUCCUGGUGGUUUGCUCAUGCCUGCCAUAGGGCUGCUGCUACAUACCAGGGGCUGAGUUCUUGUCCAUUCAUCAGCUGAUUCUAACACUCUCUGGGUUACUUGUUGUUAACAAUGAAACAAAACACAAAAACUCAUUCUGCUCAAUUCUUCUGGCUUCCCUAAAGAUAAGAAAAGACCAUCGUAAGAUUGUUUACCUGAUUCUCAACCAUGCACCCAAUUCAUUAGGAAGAACUGGGUAGUUGUGGUGUGAAUGUCCACCAGCCAGCAGCAGAAAGGCUUUGCGUCUAGUGGUGGAAGCUCUGCAGGGUAGAGGCGGCUCCAGAAAACCUGGAGGGGUUAGGCACAUGGGCAGGCCCUUGGAGUCAGUGUGGGACUGCCAAACCAUCUGAUCCAUUGGCAAACCUUGUUGAUCUACCCUGAACACAUAGCCCCAGAAUCUGACCACUUCUCAAUACCUUCACUCCUGCCACCCUUUCCAAGUCACUGCCCCCACUCCUGGACAAUUGUCCAAUAUAUAUUUGCUGAAUGAACAAACAUCAAGAGUGAGAGAGUGGAAUUCUGCACUAGCCUCCUCAUACGGGUGCUAAGGUCUAUAGCCCUCACCACCACCCCCUGCCCCAGGUCUAGCCUAGCAAGAUCCUUGACUUGUUUCAGAGCAUUAUGGAGUCACAGAGCGGAAAACGCAGACUGAAUGGCAGAAUGGCCAUUCAGCAGUGUGAUGGACACUGUAUUACACUGCUCAGAUCUCCCUUCAGGAAAGAAGAGCUUCUUCCCCCAGCUGCUGGAAGUCCUGUAGGAAGAGUGCCCUCGGCGGCGAUCCACCCUAUAGGAAUUGGCUGACUGAAGAGAGCUGCCUCACCCAAGUUCACAUAUCUUCCUGGGGAAUAUAAGGGCCCAGGCCCUUAUGGCAACUCAGAAUAACCUUGAAGGGCCAUCCCAGAUUCAGAGUUCCCUGAGUGGCUGGCAGAGGCCUUGCUUAUGACUGCACCGCAGAACACCUUCUCCCUCUGCCCAGUCCUGCUUCCCUUCCUGGAUGUCAUAUCCCAGAACACUCCCCAGUAAAUGCCCUACCCAUUCAUCUCCACCUCAGAGUCUGAUUUCUAGAGAAUCCAACAUGUAAUACUGGGGAACAGGGUAAAGUUUACCUUGGGGGAUGGAUUUAUUUGAAUGCUAGACCAGAAGUCAGUAAAUUACAGACUGCAGGCCAAAUCUGGCCCACUGCUUGUUAGUGUAAAUAAAGUUUUAUUGGCAACAGCCACAUUUAUGUAUUUAUGCAUUGUUGAUGGCUGAUUUUGCACUACAACAGCAAGUUGUCUCCUGCUGUGCCCUUCUCAGUGACAGCCCCAGACAGAACAGUUAAGAUGGUGGUGACUCAAUGGCAGGCCCCAUCUCCACUGCCACUAUCAAAGGUGGUAUCUGAACACUGUUGCUAGUUGAGUAGUUGCUACAGAAACCAUAUGGCCCGCAAAGCCAAACACAUAUUUUCAAUCUGGCCCUUCACAAACAAAAGGGAAAAAGAAAAGUUUGCUGAUCCCAAUUCUAGAUCAUUGAAGAAAAAAAAUCACAUUUGUAAAAUAUCUUCUGGUCCCUCUAGUAAAAAAAGUCCUCAUGGGAUGAGAGUGGGAGUCUAAUGCAGGCUUCUCCCCUACAGGUAGGCUUGGCUUGUGUGUACAUGGUUUGUUAUCUGCCCUUGAGUGGCGUAAGUGAGAUAAGCCUCACUCGCUAUUAAUGUGGCAGACCAUACCAUCUAAGUGUGAGUAGGCACAGUGCUCAUUUGGAGACCUGGCAAGGACUUCUGCCUUCCAGUCAUCCACAUCUUUAUUCACUAGUGAUGCUAAACUCCACCGAGGACAUCUCAGACCAAUGCCACCAAAGCCUGUGAACUGACUGAGGGAGUUGCAACAUGGGCCCACCAUAGAACGCGAACGCAAAUAGAUGUGGACAGCGUAUUCACUAGUCUCCUCUUCAAUAGCAUCUACCAUCAUCAGAAGAUUUUGCUCCCUCUACUUGGAUAUCUCAGAAAUGAAUUGCCCAGGCUGUACCCACCAAGCAGCUGAAUGUCAGUAAGCCAGCCAACAGAAGAUCCUGCUCAUGAGAAAGUAAUUCAUAAACCAGAGCCUCUUGCAGAAAGCAAAGUUGAAAAUCAGAAGUUUACACAGAGAAAGAAAGAAAUCUG
rnacentral:lncRNA from 1 species